AGUGGCGGACGGGUGAGUAACGCGUAAGAAUCUAACUUCAGGACGGGGACAACAGUGGGAAACGACUGCUAAUACCCGAUGUGCCGCGAGGUGAAACCUAAUUGGCCUGAAGAAGAGCUUGCGUCUGAUUAGCUAGUUGGUGGGGUAAGAGCCUACCAAGGCGACGAUCAGUAGCUGGUCUGAGAGGAUGAGCAGCCACACUGGGACUGAGACACGGCCCAGACUCCUACGGGAGGCAGCAGUGGGGAAUUUUCCGCAAUGGGCGAAAGCCUGACGGAGCAACGCCGCGUGAGGGAGGAAGGUCUUUGGAUUGUAAACCCCUUUUCUCAAGGAAGAAGUUCUGACGGUACUUGAGGAAUCAGCCUCGGCUAACUCCGUGCCAGCAGCCGCGGUAAUACGGGGGAGGCAAGCGUUAUCCGGAAUUAUUGGGCGUAAAGCGUCCGCAGGUGGUCAGCCAAGUCUGCCGUCAAAUCAGGUUGCUUAACGACCUAAAGGCGGUGGAAACUGGCAGACUAGAGAGCAGUAGGGGUAGCAGGAAUUCCCAGUGUAGCGGUGAAAUGCGUAGAGAUUGGGAAGAACAUCGGUGGCGAAAGCGUGCUACUGGGCUGUAUCUGACACUCAGGGACGAAAGCUAGGGGAGCGAAAGGGAUUAGAUACCCCUGUAGUCCUAGCCAUAAACGAUGGAUACUAGGCGUGGCUU
rnacentral:rRNA from 1 species